GGCGCCGGAUCAUACAGCUGCCCUGACGAGGGGACAAGCCUGUGCAUGCGCGGUAAGUUGUUUACAUUCAGACGGGGCUGGCUGUCGGCGACAUCUUUGUUUUGCCGCACCACUCCCUACAAAGUUCCAACAUCUUCCCUAGCAGAAGUUGGUAGUCAAUGAUGGCAAUUCUGCUGCUGCUGCUGCUGCUGCUGCUGCUAAAUUCUACUGAAUGCUCUUUUUGAAGCCUACAGAAAGCAAUUGGAAGGUCAGAAGUUCACCAUGUCUACUCUCAAGAUUCAUCCCACUGAGAUCUUUGACUGUCAUAGGAAUCCCAUGGUUGAGGUCGAUCUUUGCACUUCAAAAGGUCUCUUUCAAGCUGCUAUGCCAAGCAUCCUGCCAGUCCCACCUUUCAAUGUGAUCAACAGCUGGAAACAAGCUGGUCGUACAAGAGUUCAUGAUCCUCCCUGUUGGGGCAUCCAGUUUCCACGAAGUGCUGUGCAUUGGAGCAAAGGUUUACCACAACCUGAAGAAUGCCAUCAAGGAGAAAUAUGAGAAGGGAUGCCACCAAUGUGAGUGACAAGGGCAAGUUUACACUUAAUGUCCUGGAAAACAAAGAAGUGCUAGUGCUGCUUGAAGAUCAUAAUUACAAAGUCCAGCUACACUGACCAAGUCAUUAUUGGUGUGGAUAUGGCUGCCUCUGAGUUCUUUAGAUCUGGCAAGUAUAACCUGAACUCCAAGUCUCCUAUGACUUCAGCAAGUACAUCACACCUGAACAGCUGGUUGACUUAUAUACGUUCUUCAUCUGGGAGUAUCCAAUGAUGUUCGUGGAAGACCCCUUUGACCAGGACAAUGGGACAGCUUGGAAGAAGUUCACAGCUAGUGCACGUGGUUGAGAGUAUCUCAUAAUAACCAAUCCUAAAUGGAUUGCUAAGGCUGUGGGAAAGAAGUUCUGCAACUGCCUCCUCCACUCAAGAACCACCUGCCCAAGGACAGCACGGCCCAGAGCACCUCUGCAUCAAUCAUCACUCAAGAAAAUGACAUGAGGACAUGCUUAAAGAUAAUUCUGUUGGAAGCUUUUCCUCAACUUCAUCCUAUAUGAUCUACUUGGCAGAAACUAACCAGCAUGAUGAGGGAAAUGGAAGAGGCGGGCACUGAAUAGGACCAUAAUUUAUCUUGUCAUUGUAAGAAAGAGGAACUAGCUUGCCUCCACAUCACCUCAGCCUGAGUGCUCAUAGCCAGAGUUGUCUUUGUAGAGAACAGACUACUGGAGAGUGUGGCCUUGAUCUGGGAGAUAGAGGGGAAGGUAGAGGGUCUCUUAUUUAACAUCCACCAUCAACUAUUGCCUCAAGUUUCCCUCAGGGCCAAAUGGGAGAGAAAAACCAAAUGAAAGAGUUCCUGCAGAUCUAACAUAAAAGUCUAUUUAAAUAGUACAACUGCUGUUUUGAAAUUAGAAAUAGUUUUUGCCCUAAAGGAUAAUCACAUUGCCAGAGUGGUGAGAGAAAAACACACACUUAAGGAGAGACCUAAGUAAACACACGCACACACACACACCAUGUUGUCAAGGUUUAGAGAUUUGAAACAGGAUAAAGUCCCUAAAGCCACCUUCUAAUAAAACUUGAGAGACACAACCUGUACCCAAAGAAAGUCUUUAAUAUAAGACAACUCAAAGAACCAACCAAAAGUGGAAAGAAGAAAAGGGAGCUUUACUAUGGGGUAUGUGUGUCUGUGUGUUAAGAGAGUGAGAGAGAAAGGAAUAAGAGAGAAAAACAUCUAGUAAAAGAAUAUUUACUGGAGGGUGUAAUGUACAUUAUAUUGGUCUUUUUGUUGUUAUUGUGAUUAUUGUUUUAUAAAUUUCUUUUUUAUUAGAGAUUUUUAAAUUUACAUUUCAAAUGUUAUCCCCUUUUCUAGUUUCCCAUACAUAAACGCCCUACCCCAUAACCACUCCCCCUUCUUCUAUGAGGAUAUUCCCCCUCCCCAACCACCCACCCCUUCUUGCCUCCCAGCUGUAACAUUAUCCUACAAGGAGGUGAGGGGGUCCAGCUUUGGCAGAACCAAGAGCUUCUCCUCCAAUUGGUGCCCAACAAGGUCAUCCUCUGCUACAUAUGCAGCUGGAGGAUGGGUCUGUCCCUGUGUACUCUUUGGAUGGUAGUUUAGUCCCUGGGAGCUCCCAUUGGUUGGUAUUGUUGUUCUUAUGAGGUUGCAAACACUUCAGCUUCUUCAAUUCUUUCUCUAACUCCUCCAAAGGGGACACCAGUCUCAGUUCAAUGGUUGUCUGCUAACAUUUGCCUCUGGAUUUGUCAUGUUCUGGCAGAGCCUCUCAGAAAACAGCUGUAUCAGGCUCCUGUCAGCAUGCAAUAUUGUCUAGGUUUGGUGGCUGUAUGAAUAUGGACUAGAUCCCCAGGUGGGGCAGGCUCUGAAUGGUCACUCCUUCAGUCUCUGCUGAAAACUUUGUCUCCAUAUCUCCUGCUAUGGAUAUUUUUGUUCCACUUUCUAAGAAAGACCGAAUCAUCUGCACUUUGGUCAUCAUUUUUCUUGAGCUUCAUGAGGACUUGGGUAAUCAAAGUUUUGGGGCUAAUAACCACUUAUCAGUGAGUGUAUACCAUGUGUGUUUUCUGUGAUUGGAUUACCUCACUCAGGAUGAUAUUCUCUAGUUGCAUCCAUUUGCCUAUGAAUGUUGUGAAGUCAUUGUUUUUGAUAGCUGAGUAGUACUCCAUUAUGUAGAUUUACCACAUAUACUGUAUCCAUUCCUCUGUUGGAGGACAUCUGGGUUUUCCCUAGCAGUAUUAUAAAUAAGACUGCUAUGAACAUAGUGGAGCAUGUGUCCUUAUUAUAUGCCGGAGCAUCAUUUGAAUAUAUGCUGAGGAGUGGUAUAGCUGGGUCCUCAGGUAGUACUAUGUCCAAUUUUCUAAGGAACCUCCAGAUCAAUUCCCAGAGUGGUUGUACCAGCAUGUAAUCCCACCAACAAUGGAGGAGUGCUCCUCUUUCUCCACAUCCUCUCCAGCAUGUACUGUCACCUAAAUUUUUUAUCUUAGUCAUUCUGAAUGGUGUGAGGUGGAAUCUAAGAAUUGUUUUUGAUUUGUAUUUCCCUGAUGACUAAGGACGUUGAACAUUUCUUUAGGUACUUCUCAGACAUCUGAUAUUCCUCAGCUAAAAAUUCUUGUUUAGGUCUGUACCCCAUUUUUAAAAGGGUUAUGUGAUUCUCUGGAGUCUAAUUUCUUGAGUUCUUUGUAUAUAUUGGACAUUACCCCUCUGUUGGAUGUAGGAUUGGUAAAGAUCUUUUCCCAAUCUGUUGGUGGCCAUUUUAUCCCUAAUGACAGUGUUCUUUGCCUUAUAGAAGCUUUGCAGUUUUAUGAGGUCCCAUUUGUUGAUUCUUGAUUUUAGAACAUAAGCUAUUGGAGUUUUGUUCAGGAAAUUUUCCCCAGGUUUCUAGUACAUUCUAGAGGGUCCAUCUCCCACUCCCUGAGGUUGCAUAUUUCCAUUCAUUCUGCUGGGCUUCAGGGCUUCUCUGCUAUUCCUUCCAAUACCUGAUCAUGUUCCUCUUUUCCCUCCCUCUCCCCUCUCUUACCUAGGUCCUUCCUCUGCCUCCUGUGGUUGCUCUCUUCUCCCUCCCAAGUGGGAUUGAAGCAUUUUCAUUUGUGCCUUUCUGCUUGCUAGCCUUCUUGAGUUCUGUGGAUUGUAUCCUAGGUAUUCUGAACUUUUUCACCUAAUAUUAUUAGGCAGUACAUAUAAUGCAUGUACUUUUGGGUCUGAGUUAUCUCACUCAGGAAGAUAUUUUUAGUGCCAUCUAUUUGCCUGAAAAACCCAUGAUGGCCUUGUUCUUAAUAGCUGAAUAGUAUUCCAUUGUGUAAAUGAACCACAUUUUCUAAUCCAUUCUUCUGUGGUUGGACAUCUGGGUUCUUUUUAGCUUCUGGCCACUAUGAACAUAGUGGAACAUGUGCCCCUGUGGUAUGGUUGUGCAUUUUUUGGGUAUAUGCCCAUGAGUGGUAUAGCUGGAUCUUCAGGUAGAUCUAUUUAAAAUUUUCUGAGGAACCUCCAGACUGAUUUUCAGAGUGGUUGUACCAGUUUGCAAUCCUCGCCAACAUUUGCUGUCACCUGAGUUUUUGAUCUUAGCCAUUCUGGUGCAAGGUAGAAUCUCAGGGUAGUUUUGAUUUGCAUUUCCCUAGGAUCAGGUAAACUAUUUAAAUAGUUCUAUAACCUCUAAUGAAAUAGAAGCAGUCCUCAAAGGCACCCCAACCCCCCCAAAAGCAGCUUAGGGCCAGAUGCUUUUAGUGCAGAAUUCUACCAGAGUUUCAAAGAAGAGCUAAUACCAGCAUUCUUUAACUAUUCCAAAAAAUAGAAAGGAAUGUGGCCAAAUUCAUUCUCUGAGGUCACACUCUCUGUGAUAUCUAAACCAUACAAAGGUUAAACAAAUAAAAUAUCAGAAUAAUUUCCCAUAUGAGCAUUGGUGCAAAAAUACCCAAUAAAACACUCAUAAACUGAAUACAAGAACACAUCAAAAGUAUAGCCUUCAUUCCAGGGAUUCAGGGAUGGUUCAGUAUAUGAAAAUUCAUCAACAUGAUCCAACAUAAUAUGAUCAUCUCCUUAGAUGCUGAAAAAGCCUUUGACAAAUCUAACACCCCUUCAUGAUAAAAAAUCUGGGCUACAAGGCACAUACCUAAGCAUAGUAGAAGUAAUCUACAGCAAUCCAAUAGCCAACAUCAAGUGUAAUGGAGAGAAACUUUAAGCAAUUCCACUAAAAUCAAGGAGAAGUCAAGGCUGCCUACACUCUCUGUAUCUAGUCAACAUAGUAUUUGAAGUUCUAGCUAGAGCAAUAAGACAACUAUAGGAAAUUGCCAGGGACCAUUGAGGCACCCCAGGGGGACUGGUUUCAGGUGGGCAAGGAGUCAGCAAAUGACAAACAGACACAGACGCCAGAUGGUCUUGGAUCUGAGUGCGAUUUUACUGUUCAAGCAUCAGACUUUUAUCAUCAUAAAGCAAAGUGAAAAGCAAUGUUGCAUAUACACAGGAACAGGAAGGACCAAGGUUCCCAGGAACAGUUUUACAAUGUUCUUAUUAGAUAUUCAUAAAUUGGACACAACUCCAAGAAAUCAGUAAACCAUUCAUUUGCAAGGAAUAUCUGAAGUUGAUGUUAUCUCUAAUGUUUGAGACAGUGGCCAAGUUGGCAAACCACUCAGUGGUAUUUGUGGUCAGCAGUUAACUAUCUGAGAUUUUAUAGUAACCUUCUUCUUGUUGCUUUUUGAGCUGCCAAAUUAGAUUCAUCAUAUAUGGGUUUCUUUCUAAUUUCUUCUAAUAUAUUUAAUUCUAACACUAACUCUACUUAGGGGUUGUUGUAACUGUGUAAUGAUACUAUCUCUAUUCUCUUUAAAUAAUAAACACCACGGGGGUCAAGAUUGUGCCAAUUUUCCCCAUAAAUGGGAGUGAAUAAUAUACCUAUUUUCCAUUGUUAUUGAUCAAUCGAUUCCCAGAUUCAUCAUAAUCUCCUGUAUAUGACAAGGGAUCAAGGGGAGCACACUGUGGCCCCAUCCUGCUUACAGGGGGAAACCACCAUCUCCCUGCUCUAAGCCAUUGCCAUCUGCCAUCUGCCAUCCACAAAUCUCUUAGGAAUGCCGUAAAGCCUUUUAUUUUUAGAGAAACUCAUUCCUUUCUUUAAAGGAAACUCAUAAGAGUGAGUGGCUGGAAUAAUUUCCUGUCUAACCAUCCCCACUUUUAAGGGUUAUAUGUAUUUACAGGGAGUUCUGGUAAAACAAUUCUUACUGCUGUAGUUCAGUCAAAAGUCCAUAUUCUGCAAGAUAAAUGAUGACAUUUUCCCACAGAAAGGCCAAAUCCAAAACAGGGUCAGUGGUUACCCUAUUGCACUUUCUGUGAUCUUUCUUUGUCUAUGGGAGGCUAGUAGGGCAGAAUGUGCCCUGAACAAAAGUACACAGGGUAGAAAUGAGAUGGCAAGAAAAGAUGUUCCAAGCAUGGCAGCCAUGAUGAGUGAAGUACGUAUCCUUCUGAGAGGACAGCCAAUCCCUCCAGGAGACUGACUUGCUUGAAGUCAUUGCCUGGGGUGAGUGUGCCAGGCUUUUGCCCAGUCACACAGACUCUACUGGAGGGAGUGUGGCAGGAAAUCAAGGGGAUACAACUUGGAAAGGAAGAAGUCAAACUACCACUGUUUGAAGAUGAUAUGAUGGCAUGCACAAGUAUCUCCAAGGUAAACACCCUCAGCAAAGUGGCUGGAUACAAAAUUAACUGAAAAAAAAAGUAGCUCUCCUUUAUACAAAUGAUAAAGAGACUGAGAAAGAAAUUAGGAGAACAACACCCUUUACAAUAGCCAUAGUAAUAUAUCUCAGUGUAGCUCUAACCGAGCAAGUGAAAGGUCUGUAUGACAGGAACUUCCAGUCUCUGAAAAGACUAAUUGCAGAAGAUAUCAGAAGAUGGAAAGAUCUCCUAUGCUCAUGGAUCAGUAGGAUUUACGUAGUAAAAAUGGCCAUCUUACCAAAAGCAAUCUACAGAUUCCAUGAAAUUCCCGUAAAAAUUCCAAUGCAAUUCUUUACUGACUUUGAGAGAGCAAUUUUCAACUUUAGGUGAAAAAACAAAACAAAAACAAACAGACAAAAACAAAAAUAAACAAAACCCAAAAACAAACAAAAACCCAAAAACCCCAGGAUAGCUAAAACAAUCUUGUAAAAUAAAAGAACUUCUGGAAGUUUUAUCAUCCUUGAUUUCAAGUCAUUUCAAGUGUAGGAAGAGUAAUAAAACUGUAUGUUAUUGGCAUAAAAACAGACAGGUUGAUCAACGGAAUCGAAUCAAAGACCCAGAAGCAAACCAUAUAUGUAUGGAUACUUGAUUUUUGAUAAAGAAACCAAAACAAUACAAUGGGAAAAAGAAAGUAUUUGCACCAAUAGGUGCUUGUUUAAUUGGAUGUGUGAAUGUAAAAAUGCAAAUAGACCCAUUCCUUUUUCCCUGCACAAAGCUCAAGUCCAAGUGGAUCAAAGACCUCAACACAAAACUGGGCACAUUAAAUCUAAUAGAAGAGAAGGUGGGGAUCUUCCUUGUACAUAUUGGCAUAGCAGAUAAAUUCCUGAACAGAACACCAAUAGCUUAGGCACUGAGAUCAACAAUUAAUAAAUGGGACCUCAUGAAACUGAAAAGCUUUUGCAAGGCUAAGUACACCAUGUAUAAGACAAAACAGCAGCCUACAGAUUGGGAAAAGAUCUUUACCUACCCUACAUCUGGCAGCAGACUAAUAUCCAAAAUAUAUAAAGAACUCAAGAAAUUAGACACCAACAAACAAAAUAGCCCAAUUUAAAAGGGAGUACAGAGCUAAAUAGAAUUCUCAACAGAGGAAUAUCUAAUGGCUGAGAAAUACAUAAAGAAAUGUUCAAAAUCUUUAGUCAUCAGGUGAAUGUAAAUAAAAAAAUGACUCUGAGAUUUCAACCUUAUACACAUUAGAAUGGCUAAGACCAAAACUCAAGGGGCAACACAUGCUGGCAAAGAUGUGGAACAAGGGAGAACACUUCUCCAUUGCUGGUGCGAGUGUAAACUUGUACAACCACUUUGGAAAUCAAUUUGGCUUUUUCUCAGAAAAUUGGGAGUAGUUCUACCUGAAGACCCAGAUAUACCACUGCUGGGCAUCUUCCCAAAAGAUGCUUCCCUAUAUCACAAGGACACUUGCUCAACUAUGUUUAUGGGAGGUUUUUAUCCAUCAUAGCCAGAAAUGGAAACCAAUCGACAUGUCCCUCUACUGAAGAAUGUACAUACAGAAUGUGGUACAUGUUACACAGUGGAGCACUAUUCAGUCGUUGAAAACAAAAUCAUCAUGAAAUUUGCAGAGAAAAGGUCUUCCUAUUUCCACAGUUUUGUUAUCCUGAUGCCAUCUUCUGCCACCAGCAUUCCAAGGGAAUUUGGAGUCCCUUUUCUCCUAUGUGACUCAAGUGGUGGAUCUAGUGUGGCUGAAAUUCUUCUAACCCCAAGUAAAAUGUCCUAUAAAUGUCUACCCUCUCUAGCGAUGACGUGGAAUGAGGUGAGGAAUACUUUUUUCUCAUUUGUAAUGGUUAUAAUGAGAAGACCUUUUUUUGCUAGCAGCAAACCACCGAACUGAGAACAGGACCCCCUUGGGGGGAAUUAGAGGAAGGAUUGAAAGAGCUGAAGGGGCCUGCAACCCCAUAAAACAACAAUGCCAACCAACCAGAGCUUCCAGGGACUAAACCACUACCCAAAGACUAUACAUGGACUGACCCAGGGCUCCAACUGCAUAUGUAGCAGAGAAUAGCCUUGUUGGGCACCAGUGGAAGGGGAAGCCCUUGGUCCUGCCAAGGUUGGACCCCCGGUGCAGGGGAAUAUGGAGGGGA